AUCAAGGGCUUCCACACAGGUGUGGCUCAUGCGUUAAUUAAGCAAAUAACAUCCCAGCAUGCUUAGGGUCAUGUAUAAAAAUGUUGGACAGGCCUGGUUGCCUAUAAUUAUGGCUAGCAUGGCUGCAAGAGGAGACCUCAGUGACUUUGAAAGAGGGGUGAUUGUUGGGGCGCGUUUGGCAGGAGCUUCAGUGACCAAGACAGCUCAACUUGCUGAUGUUUCACGAGCAACGGUGUCUAAGGUAAUGUCGGCAUGGAACUCUGAGGAAAGACAUCAUCAGCAAAGGGCAACAGUGGGCGAGAAGAGCAUACUCCAGGAUUGUGAUAUCCGUGCAUUAAAUCGAAGUGCAAGGCAAAACAGCUCAACAUGGAUACUGUGAGAAUGCCAAAAUGUUUAAUACACUGAAGUGGGCAGGAGACAUAAAAACUGCAACUGUCAGUCCUUUGAAAGCUGAACUACAAUGAAUCUA